UAGCGAGUAAAGCAGGGCGGGCCCGGCUCACCACUACCGACUCUAGGUGCUUACCAGAUGUGGUGGUGGGGUUGCCAGUUGUCCAUAAGUAGUCGUCAAUGUGAGUGGGUGCGCGUCGGACGCUGGUCCCAGGCCGGUCACAAGGGAUAUCGAAACGCUCACUGCUAGUUCAAGUCUGACUAGUUUCAGCUUGAAUUAUAUGCUAUAGAAGCAAAAUGGUGAGCGGCACUACUGAAAUUUUAACGUGACUCAAGUGAUACGAUUUAAAUCCCAGUUUAAAGAGCAUGUCAUGGUGGCGACUACAUCUUGGGUCCCAGGGGCAGUUUUCCCAAGACGGUAUUGUUUGUACUCUUCGCAGGUGUGUUGUGGUACUAGUGGAGUGCUUUGGUAUAUAGUCUGGGCUACUAGUUUUAGCGAGAGAUAAAAGGUGAUGAUGAAGGCAGGACGCGGUGAACCCAGGGUUGGCAGAAAGUCAAGGUCAGAGAUUUUCCUGUGCACUUUUUGUUAGUGGUGUCGGGGAUGCCGGUGUUGCGGGCCCGGAGUUCUCGGGUGGAGGGUGGGCGGUGUUACCCUCGGGUGUGCUGGGCGGCCGUCAACCGCUCCACCCACUGGGGGGGGUACACCCAUAGGACCCCCUCACCCGAUGGGUCCUCCCAGUCGCUGCACCUGUGUGCCAGAGCCACCUCUUGCAACAGUUGGCCAGUGUACACCUUGGCACGGAAGGGUAGCCAGGGACAGGGGUCGCCGCCCACACCAAGUGUCGCGCCCACAUCCGCCGUCCUCCACCACGGACCUGUUGUCCAAAACCACACACAGCUGAUCAGUUGUGAUAAAAAUUAUUAUCCGGAGUUAACACAAAUAUCCUCAGAGAACAUGACUAGAGGAGACGGCACGUGUUAUCUUGAGUCACGUGAGUCUGACCAACACUCAUCGGGACAUCAUAUCAUGUUAUACAAUUCGUUAUAUUCAGGGAUGGUCAGUGGCGACCACAGCAGCAGUGAUACCAGUAGUGGCAGUGACAUCAGUAGUGGUAGUGACACACUCAGUUCCAGUGACACCCUCAGUGCCAGUGAAACAAUUAGCGCUAAUGAAACUUUGAGCGCCUGUAGUGCCAGUUACAGCGGCAGUGAGGACGGCAGUUAUACAGAACAUUGUGCGAAAUUAACAGGCGACGGCUGUUGUAAUUUGGUGUCUUGUGUUAGUGUUACGUCAGGAGCCAAUAAUAUAAGAAAUGCCCACAUCGUACCUACGGUAGAGGCGGUUGGUCAGCGACACAAGGCCUCCCCGUGUGGUGACGCUCCAAGCUGGACGCCAACAACACCAGAGUUGAAUGGAACAAGUUGUAAACAUUUAGCGACCAGGCAGGGUCACCGCCGCCACAGGCCCAGUUUGGGGAUGGAGCAGACUCUCAGUAAUGGGCUGCAGCACCCUUGUGUUCGUCGUGAAAACGGAAGUAAUACAUUUCCACGAAAGAAUGCGUGUAAACAUACUAAAUCAAGCACUGAGGGAAGUGGAGUAGCUGACAGACAGGUACCGCAAGUAUUGAGGCAAACUACCUUUACAAUAGCCCGAGGAUACACCACUUUUACUCUCCCCGACGACCACACUCCAGGUACCGAGGACGUUGCUACCUACCGCAAGAAGCACCCGUAUCAGCACCUUCCUUCCACCCUGCCUGAUGCUUCAGUAAUCCCACACAGACGCACGGCGCGCUUGGUACCUGACAGUGGUAUGGGUCGGAAGGUUGUUGCCAAAGUACCUGAUGCUGCUGCUGCUACAACUCCCACUGUCAGCCGCCGCACCGCCCUGCCCACCCCUCCUCCGAUCUCCACUGUGUCCCCUUCCCUCGGGAACAAGCAAGCCCUCAUGUCCACUUACCCCUUAUACCGACGAAGAACAAGCAGCGGGGUAAAGCGUGAGGGUAGUGUGGGGAGGGAGGAAGACAAGGGUGGUGUGGGUGGGCGGAGGUGCUCGGGGCCUGGCGGCUGGCUGUACCUGCCUGUUAACAAGGGGCAACGUGGGAGUGGCAGCAGUAAGCGAGGUGUUCCUUUUGCCCGUGGCAACAAUAGCAACAAAGAGCAUGAUCACAUUGUGCACAGUGAGCAAAAGAAAGACCACCAAUCACAACCUCAGUCAGAGCAACAUCGCGGGCGUGCCAUGAAGAUCUCAAUCCGUGAGGAAGCCACCAAGAAGACUGCCAUACUCACCACCCCUGUCACCAGAACUCGGUCGGGUUCCCGUAGUUCUGGAGGGGCAAGUCCAGCAACCUUGCAUGGAAGGGCCCCAUACAAGUCAGCAACUGUCGCACCAGCACCCACAAAACUCUCCACUAAAACUAAUUCGCUCAAUCGGUUUGGAUUUCAUAAUAGUGCACAGGUUAAGUCAGGUGAUAGCACAGACAGUGUAAAUUCUAUUCUAAGUGAUGCACAGACAGUGUCUGACUCAAACUCUAAUAUUUUUGACCUGUGUGAUGAUGAUAUUAAAAAUAACAAAAGCACAAAGAAAAGCAGUGACUCUCUUCAGUGUAACAACAUCCAUAUAGAAACACCGAGGUUGGAAUCGCCCUCUACGAAACUAAUUAAAACUCCAAACUUAAGUAAUACUCCCAGGUUAGGUUCUGGUUUACAGCCAGGUCGCAUCACCGCUUUUACUCGUCAGCUUCCUAAGCCACAAGUAGUCACGGUAAAAUCUGUUAGUCCAAAGGUCCAAGCUCCCAGAUCGCAUAGUCCUAAGCUCAAUAGUCCUCACCAUAGUCCAAUGCCUAAUACCACUAGGUUUCAAAGUCCAUCAGUUAGAGAUAGAAUAAAAACUGUCUCAUUGAAACCUCUAACACAAACUCCAUCUAAGACUCAAACAGAACAGACUUCAAGAGGAAAGCAACAAUUGCCAAGUAACGGUCAGCAUAUUCCACGUGUGUCGAGAGAUUCCGAAUCCUCUACCAGGUCUGUCACAGAAGCUGACUCAGGACUCGGAUCUUCAAGUGAAAGUGAUAAAAUCCAAGGUGAGGGAGAGACAGAUACCCUCAAGUCUUGUAACGAGGAAAGUAAUGAGGACAUGUCUGAUGCUUGGUUAAGAGAAAAGAUGAAGUCCAACGAAACGGUAAAGAGACGGCCAGGAAACUUGGAGGUUUGCUUUAAUGGUACAGGAGCUUUUGAAUUAGCGAGACGCAGUUUAGAAGUGAAAGGAGCAAGUGUUACCCCAUCUCCUCCAACUGCAAAGUCAGAAAUUGUAAUGGAAAAGAAAUCAAAAUCCAGUAAAGAGAAACGUGAAGGCCCAAUAACCUAUGGCAUGGCCAGACAGAAAUUUGCACCAUACAGUCGUAAUCGCUUUGGAUAUGGAUACCAGUCUGGUGUUGCAAGGAGUGGGGACUCUUCUUCAUCUAAUAAUUCUAAUAGUCCAACAUCCACUGUAAUUAAAACACCUGGUAGUUCAGGGUUAGUCAGAAAUCGUGUAGCGUCAUUAGAAACAACCCCAAGUAAGAAGCCCCAGCAGACACCGGUAUUAAGAAGAACUACUCUAAAGAAACCUAUUGUUAGACCCACCUCUUUGGAAAAGACGCCUCUCCUAGUCAUGCCUGUUACUGAAAAAACGAUUGAGCUGAGUAAGCCUGUAUGUCGAAGAUUAGAGUACAGCGAGUGUAAAAUAGUGAAAAAUGAUACACUGAAGGAUUCGAACUGUGAGAUACAACAAGGAAUAAAUCCUAAACUCUCUACCUCAAAGACAGUUGCAGGGGAUAUGUUGAUUGUUGGAUCAGUGGAAACAGAAAUGCAGAAAGAUACAAAUAUGCUCUUUGAGACAGAUAAUCAUGGAAGUUACUAUGAAAAUUCAUAUUGUAAAAUUGCAGAAGUUGGCAAAAAUGAAGUACCUUUAGCAAAUAAUAUUGAUAGUAGUCUUACAACUAGUUUCAGUAAAGGUUCUCAAGAUAUGCGUGAAACUGAAAAACUAACAAUUGAAGAAAUAAGUGGAGACCUUUCACAAUCGACUGGUGCUGCAGACACGCCAAAUGAUAUCACAGACACUAGUUUUUCUGAUAAGAUAGAAGAUGUAGUUGAAGGUGAAGUAAUCUCAAACAAGCAUAUCCUCCAAUCUCCUGAUGAUGUGGGUAUGAAAGCUCUUACACCUCAGUCAGAGUCCUCUUUUGAAAUUUUGGAAUCUCUCAGUGAAACAAUUGAUUUAAAUUCAGAAGACAUUAAAGAUGAUGCUGAUCACUCGGUAACAGAGCCAGAGAGCAGCUAUGAAAGUAAGGCAACAGUGUUUGAAACCAAGAGAGAAUCUGAUGUAGAUUCAGCUGCAUCCCUCUCAGGAUCAUCAGUUUCACUACCCACUGAAGGAUCAGCAAAACCAGCUGUGCUACAGAAACCUAAACAGGCUGUAACCUCUCCUGGGCCACAGACUGCUUCUAAUAAAUUUGUUAAUUCUGUAUCAGAACUUCCCUCCAACGCGCAAAAAAAUAAUUCUGAAAGUUUACAAAAAUCUACUGCUGGAUCACCAGUUGAUAAGAAGAGACCACUUUGCCAAGCAUUGUCUGCUAUGAAGACAUCAUUUGAAUCAAAGACUUCAAUGGAAUCUUCAGCUGAAUCACAAAAGUUAGGGGGUAUGGUGAAUUCAAUGGCUGAAUCAAGUGAUCGGUCAACACUAUCUGGUAUGUGCACCCCGACACUAAAUGCUGGCAGGGGAGACUUGGAUCAAGAUUUCCUGAUUGAUGAUGAGAUAGCUGACCAACCAGGUCUCAUGUUUGGGGAAUCAACAAUGGCAUCUUCGUUUUUCACUGAUGAUGGAAUAUUUGAUGAUAUGGCAUCACCUUCUCCUAGUCAUACAGCCCUCAAGUCAGCAUUAGCAGAAAUGGGGCGAAGUCGAGCCGACAGUGUAGAUACAACCUCUAGUCUUGGAGCAGAUGAUCUCAUGCUAGAUUUUGAAGCUGAAGAAGGAAAGAUGGGCGGUUCGUCUAACAGGUCCUCUAACAGUUCGUCCCUCAGUGUCAGCCUCCCUGGAACUUUAACUGGGGCGCGGCCCAAAAAGAUGCACCUUCGCAUUACCAUUCCUGGACGAAGGUAUGAUGAAGAAGUUUUAAGUCCAGAUGCUAGUGAGAUAUUCAGUGAAUGGACAGCUAUGAUGGCAGAAAUGGGGAGCACAAUUUCAGAUCGAUGUGUAUCACGAGAUGGCAGCAGUUGUGGUGGGCGCACAUCUCGCCCCAGGCUGGGCAGUUCAUCAGAGGUUGCUUCACCAGAUCCCAGAAGACCCACAGUGCUGAGACCACCUCGACAGGGUGGUGCACUGGAGGUAGAGGGAGGUGGGGUCUGUCUAGACCGUACCACAUAUCAUUAUAUGUGCCAGGAUGUUACUGCUCUAAAAACAAUGUUGUUGCGUCUCAGAAGAGUCUUACAAGCAGCAGAAACCAUGAACCCCUUUGAUGCCAACUUGAGGAAUUCCUUGUACCUGAGCCUGGCCAGUAGUGACUUGCCAGGAGGGACUGGCAUCAAUGGUGAUAAAGAUUCACUUACACCAUCAAACACAGAAGUAUCUCAAGAAAAUGUUGACCUCAGGAGACAGGUGGUGCUUUUGCAACAGCAACUAGAUGAACGUGAUCGAACCAUACGGCUUUUACAACAGCAACUUGCACAGUCUAUAGGAAACCAGAACCCAACUUGUACCUCUCAAGAAACUAAGGACCCACAAAAUAUAGUUAAUGCAGCUACCCAAACAGAUCGCUCGGCUCGCCCAACUUUAACGGGGUCAAGCCUCUCACGGGCAGCUUCUAUUGACGAUGGACUCGGACCAACUGUUAGCUAAAUCUGACAAGUGUCAUCUCACUCACAAGCUUCCGGCUGGGCAAGCAGGUACAUGUAUUCUGAGGUUGAUUGUGAUCGCACGGGUCGAGGCCGAAGCACUUCAGCAUCAGACCAUCGCCAACCUAGAGCCACC
rnacentral:misc_RNA from 1 species